UGGGGAAUAUUGGACAAUGGGCGCAAGCCUGAUCCAGCCAUGCCGCGUGAGUGACGAAGGUCUUCGGAUUGUAAAACUCUUUUGGCGGGGACGAUAAUGACGGUACCCGCAGAAUAAGCCCCGGCUAACUUCGUGCCAGCAGUCGCGGUAAUACGAAGGGGGCUAGCGUUGUUCGGAAUCACUGGGCGUAAAGCGCACGUAGGCGGAUGUGCCAGUCAGGGGUGAAAUCCCGGAGCUCAACUCCGGAACUGCCUCUGAUACUGCACGUCUUGAGUUCGAGAGAGGUGGGUGGAAUUCCUAGUGUAGAGGUGAAAUUCGUAGAUAUUAGGAAGAACACCGGUGGCGAA
rnacentral:rRNA from 1 species